ensembl:lncRNA
CAAGAAUGAAAGGUUGUAAAGAUCUAGCGCAAACGCCCAUCGACCAGUUUACUUAUAUCAACGAUUGGUUGAUCCGAGGAAUCGGAAACAAUGUUAAGAAAUCGCGCUUCAAGUAUUAGAUUAGCAGAGAAUGGAUCUGACCAGGCGAGAGGACUGCGUUUAUGUCCGCUGAAGGCACGUUACAGGAAGGAGCGAUGGUAAUUAACGAUGGAUGAGAAUGUUUUGAAAAGUCGGGCUGGAAAGUGUAUCCUAAUCUUCCUUCACUUCUGGACAAAUAAGUUGUGUUCGCUCUUAACAGGCUUCUCUUGACUGUUCUGAUUGUGGGCUUUAUAACCCUGUUUGCUUAUGGGAAGCGGGUCUCUUUAGCCGGGUGUGUGUGUGCGUGUGUGUGUGUGUGUGUGUGUGUGUAUGCGUAUCUGGGUGACGUUAGGCGUGAACAGGAUGCUCCCGUCACCUGUGGCUUUUGUCUAUGAAGUUGUUUGGAUGACAACAAGAGCCACGUGGAGGCAUUAUGCCGCAUCCUGCCCUGACUGAAUGGGAUACAGUGCGACAUCGCUAGCCAUGAAAUGGAUGUGUUUGCUUGUUCAUAGAUAUAAGAGGAAACGCCAAGCCUUUUUUUUUUUUAACAUAAGGUAGUUUUUUUUGCUUUGUAUGUAAUGUACAUUUUUGUCAUUGAGUCUUUGGCUGCGACAUGUGCAUUGCUUAAGUGAAAUAUGCAGUAGUGUAUCUAUGAACGUUAAAUGUCUGCCCCCCUCUCUCUCUCUCUCUCUCUCUCUCUCUCUCUCUCUGUGUGUGUGUGUGUGUGUGUGUGUUAGAGAUGGCUCAGGAUGUCUUAUGAGGCGAACAAGAGUGUCCUCCUGGUUCCUCAGGAGUCGCGUGCGUCAUGCGUGUUCCAGUCGGCUGAGGAGAGAGACGAAAUCCCCGGCAUGGGCGACGACAGUGUCCUGGAGAUGCUGAGCUACUCUAAGUUCUCGGACCUGGAGGCGUGGCUGUGCAUGCCCUCCGCUCUGUUUCCCAGGACACGCCCCUCCUGGUCCUUCUCUCCGCUGUCCAGCGAGGGGGAGGAGUCUGAAGCCGACAGAGACCAAGAGAUCAGGCCGUCCGACAGGGACUCCAUCUUGCUGACGCGUCCAUCAGAGAGGAGCGACUCCGCUUCACCGCCACCCCCCACCUCCUCCGGGUCCCCGCAACCCCGCACCUCCACGCCGGCGUCCGCUGCCCCCCCCACCAGUGCCACCUCUGACCUUAGCAGAGACGCCCCCCAGGCUAGAUCCAGCGGUAGGAAGAGGAGACGUCUGGCAGCCAGCCCAGGAGGACUGCAUUGGGAUUCUACAGGCUCGGUGCUGAGGGAGUACGAUCGUUCCGAAGCACGGAGCGGUGUGCGUCCUGUGGCGACCCCUGAGCCCUCCUCCUCUCCCUCGGUGGACGGCUCCGUGAGGAAGAAUCUCUUGGUGAGGAAGACUCUGUCUGUGGACGACCGGCUGCUUCACACACCACCAGACCAGCAGUGGAUCCUCAGCCGCCUCGACAAGGGCAAGAAGAAGCUGCGCAACAUCCAUAGCCUUGGAUCAACGGGGAGAUACGAGCCUCGUAAAAAGUCGGACAGUAAGAUCCAGCGCCUGGCACAGAGACUCCAGAGGCAGAGUGAUGCGGCGCUGAUCCGGGAAUUUCGACCUUUCCUCUUCCUGCCCGGAACGCCGGGAACAUCCCAGAGCCUCGACAGGUAGAUAGACCUCUACCUCUCCUCUCAUGUCAUUCUCUCCUCCCUCUCUCCUCUCCUCUCCUCUCCUCUCCUCCCCUCCCUCUCUCCUCUCCUCUCCUCUCC